GACGAACGCUGGCGGCGUGCCUAACACAUGCAAGUCGAGCGAAUGAAGUUCCUUCGGGAAUGGAUUUAGCGGCGGACGGGUGAGUAACACGUGGGCAACCUGCCUCCUAGAGGGGAAUAGCCUCCCGAAAGGGAGAUUAAUACCGCAUAAGAUUGUAGUACCGCAUGAUACAGCAAUUAAAGGAGCAAUCCGCUAUGAGAUGGGCCCGCGGCGCAUUAGCUAGUUGGUGAGGUAAUGGCUCACCAAGGCGACGAUGCGUAGCCGACCUGAGAGGGUGAUCGGCCACAUUGGGACUGAGACACGGCCCAGACUCCUACGGGAGGCAGCAGUGGGGAAUAGUGCACAAUGGGGGAAACCCUGAUGCAGCAACGCCGGGUGAGUGAUGACGGCCUUCGGGUUGUAAAGCUCUGUCUUCAGGGACGAUAAUGACGGUACCUGAGGAGGAAGCCACGGCUAACUACGUG
rnacentral:rRNA from 1 species